UCCCGGUUAGCUCAGUUGGUAGAGCGCUCCACUAGAAACGGAGAGGUCCCCGGUUCGAUAUCCGGACCAGGCA
rnacentral:tRNA from 1 species